GACGGAGGAUGCAAGUGUUAUCCGGAAUCACUGGGCGUAAAGCGUCUGUAGGUGGUUUAAAAGUUCUAUUGUUAAAAAUUGAAGGCUUAACUUCAAAGAUGCAAUGGAAACUUUUAAACUUGAGUAUGGUAGGGGUAGAGGGGAUUUCCAGUGGAGCGGUGAAAUGCGUAGAUAUUGGAAAGACCACCAAUGGCGAAGGACACUCUACUGGGCCAUUACUGACACUGAGAGACGAAAGCUAGGGGAGCAAAUGGG
rnacentral:rRNA from 1 species